AUUUGUAUUGUCAUAUAACAACAGACAUUUGUUUAAAAUUCUUAUCUUGUCAGGUUCAGUCUACUGCAGUGUGAAACCUCCCUACAAACUAUAGAGGGCAGGUGAGGAUUGUGAAGCUGUGGCUGGGCUUGUACACUCAGUAUCUAAAUACCUGCUCCAAGGCCUUUUCUUAUAUGGACCCAAGCCAGCUGUUUCUUCCAGAUGGUGACUCGUCCUCUCUCCCUCUGUUGAGAGAUGACUUCUAAGUUUUCAAAUGCAUUCAGGAGUUCACAAUCAAAGACACUUAGCCACUGAAGAACUCUGAUGCUGAGGGACCAUUUUUGCAGGAAGCCUAGCCAGGACUCCAGGCUAUGGAAUGCCUGAGUACAGAGCAGAGAGCAAGUUCAACAGGAAAAACUGAAGGAACCUAAUUCUGCCACAGUAGGGGUGAAAACAAAAGUUUUCAUCAGCAUGCUACUGCACACCCACCAAGGCAGUGGGAGAAUAUAAAGGCUCUACAAGAAGCACAGACUUGGAGCACAUCUCCCUUACCUUCCCUCACUCUGCCUAGGAGGCUGAGGACAGCAGGAAAACUCCAGACCCCUGCCCAUGGAGGAUGAUCACCAUGCUUUUCACUGAACAAAACAAAUAAAAAUAUUCCAAAU
rnacentral:lncRNA from 1 species